rnacentral:rRNA from 1 species
ACUGCUCAGUAACACGUCGAUAAUCUGCCCUUAGGUUGAGGAUACCCACGGAAAACUGUGGCUAAUACUCGAUAUUUAAGAGAUUCUGGAACGAACUCUUGAUUAAACGCAAGGCCUAAGGAUGAGUCGGCGGCGGAUUAGGCAGUUGGCGGUGUAACGGACCACCAAACCUAAGAUCCGUAGGGGCCCUGAAAGGGGUAGCCCCGAGAGGGACACUGAAAUACUGGUCCCAGCUCCACGGAGUGCAGCAGGCGCGUAACCUCCACAAUGCGCGAAAGCGUGAUGGGGGGAUCCCGAGUGCUUACAUUUUAUGUAAGCUUUUGCCAAGAGCAAACAUCUUGGAGAAUAAGUGGUGGGUAAGACCGGUGCCAGCAGCCGCGGUAACCCCGGCGCCACGAGUGGCAAUCUUAUAUUUGGCCUAAAGCAUUCGUAGCCGGUCUGAUAAAUCCUUUGUGAAAUCGUCGAACUCAAUACGACGGCAUGCAGGGGACACUAUCAGGCUAGAGACUGGGAGGAGUUAGGGGUAUUUCUAGGGGAGCGGUUAAAUGCGAUAAUCCUAGAAAGACCACCUGUGGCGAAGGCGCCUAACUAGAACAGUUCUGACGGUGAGGGAUGAAAGCUAGGGGAGCGAUCCGGAUUAGAUACCCGAGUAGUCCUAGCUGUAAACACUGUGAGCUAGGUGUCGCAUAUUCUACGCGAAUAUGCGGUGUCGAAAUGAAGAUGAUAAGCUCACCGCCUGGGAAGUACGGUCGCAAGACUGAAACUUAAAGGAAUUGGCGGGGGAGCA